rnacentral:misc_RNA from 1 species
GAAAUGCGAUAUGUAAUGUGAAUUGCAGAAUCUGUGAGUCAUCGAGUCCUUGAACGCACGUUGCGCCCAAAGGAUAACAAACUUUGGGCACGUCUGUUUCAGUGUCGUUUUUUCAGACAAUCUCAUUUUUCCUUUGUGGGUGCAAAGGAGAAGUGGAUGGUUGACUGUUGACUUUGCACCACCCAAGUCAUCAGUUGAAAUGCAAAAUGAGGCGGUCAAUCCUUUCCAAUGCAGCCUUCUUUGCUGAUCAUUACUUGCACAGUCGCUUUGUCGACAAACAGGUACUGGAAAGAAGCUGCUGCAAUUGGCAAUGAGGUUGGCAAUCAAAGCCCCAGGAGCUUGCGUAAAGCAAGACAAUUCCAAAGGCGACCUGAAAUCAGGCGAGGUUACCCGCUGAACUUAA